rnacentral:lncRNA from 1 species
AAUAAAUAAAAGCAAUCUGUGGUGCCUACAGGCAUGUACCUGCUGGUCUGCAAGUGGGACCUCACAAUGAGAUGCUUCCCAAUGCAGGAAAACUCACUGACCACUGACCACUCACUCACUGACUCUGUUGGACACCUCUCUGGAUUCCUCUGGAACAGUGAAGAGGGUUGUGGAAAUGGAGCAGAACAGGACCAACUCUGGCAUUUUGGCUGCUGCAGGUGUUGGCCCAGAGCAGGCUGGCUGUGCUGAACUCCUUCGGUGGCCUGGGGGCUGCUGCCAGCUCUGUCAGAGUCCUGCAGCACUGGGAGUGUUUCACCCAGAGGCAAGGGGGAGACAAUCAUGUUCCUGUGAGAGCAACACCACU